UGAAUGGACCUAGAAUCUUCAUCAGGUUAGGUUGUUGUCCCUAUGUGUACUUCAGUCUGAACAUGCAGUGACAGAUGUGGAUCCCAUCAUCACUGACAACAAACAGAGCCCAUAGAGUACAGAAAAGAAACAAAAACAGGGAACAGGACUCAGAACCUUACACUUGCCAUGCAGGCUUGAGUGGCUUGAGAGAUGACCAACAUAUUAGCAAAGCAAAAGCCUCAAACCAUCUGCACAUGAGAUUCCUUCUUCCCAUCACUCUCCAGUGUCUUACAGAUAGCGGUCCUUCUAGAGCUGUUCUGUGCACAGAGAGUACAACAAGGAUGGUCUGCGGCCCAGGAUGUGACAACAAGUACAUUGCCAUACAUUUGCUUUUCAAAAUGGACUUCUUUCUACAGUCACCAGCCUGAAGUUCCUGUUUCUAAGCCCAUGAUAUUCACCUGUAUCAAGCCAACAUUCCUAAGUUGAAUGACACAAAGAUUAUCCAUCCAAAUCUGCAAGGAAGUGG
rnacentral:lncRNA from 1 species